rnacentral:lncRNA from 1 species
GAAGCAUUCAAAGAGAGAUAACAAAGUCUAUUGGAACAGCUGAGAUUUAUGGAUGAGAAACAAAAAUAUCAGUGGGCAGUAGAUUAAAAAUCUUGCCCAUGACAGUUUAAGAAGCAUUGCUGUGGUCUUCAUCAAAGCAAGCGGACCACUGGAGGAUGCUGUAUUUGAUAACUGAAUCUCCGUGUCUAGAAUCGUCACAUGGACCGCCUGAAAGAGACAAGCCUAUGAAUCAAAAUGCAACCAGUUCUUUCCAGCUGACAAAUAUUUGGCAGUAAAGAACCAGAGGAACGGGGGAAAUAAUGUCACUCCCGGAGGACCGCUCCUAGCCCAUCAGAUUACCAGGGUUCCUCCAGGGCCAGCUGUGGGAGGAAUAGCCUGAUGCCACGGUCACCUGGAGUUCCUUCUCCCUCCCACAGCACAGGAGGACCAGCCCCUUAGAGGCCCUCACUGAAGGGCAGAGGGCAUGCUCUCAGGCGGUCAUUUCUGUGUCUACCUGUUCCAACACACUGAGCUUGUCCAGGGCAGAGACUCCUGCUCCUCCAUCCCCCCAACAUGGCUCUUCUUCACUGAAUUCUCUCCUCCUCUGCCAAAUAUAAGGUUCCUUGCUAGGCAAAGAACCUUGUCAGCCUCUAGUUAGGGGUGCUGAACUUUGGCAACUGGUAGCCUGCCUCCUACUUAUCAGGUUCUAUCCAAGCUGAUCCUCCAGACUUUGUCCUCCCCUGCUUAGGCAGAAACUCUAGGGUAGGAAGUCCGUUGCCCGCUGCCGAAGCUCAGCACCCAAAGCAAGGUGGCCCACGUCCUUCCCUAGCACGGAUCCCUAUAGUAGGCAGUUGUGUCUGGGAGAGGCUAAGGCAAAGACGAGAGGGUCAGCUGGGCUAAAAACCGGAAGUGCUUAGAGACUGAAGAGUUUCUUCAUCUUGAGAACCAAAAAGACAGACUGUCAGGUCUGCAUGCUCCUCUCUGAGCUGAGGGAAACCCCCUAGGUAAAUAGCUCCCAGUUGGAGGCGAGUGCCCCGACCCUUCCCCACUUCAGCAGCUUCAGCCUCCAGACUCAACACAUGCUGGGCCAUCUUGGAGGUCUGGUGUUCCAGGCCUCCCCAGCUGCCUGCACCUCCGAAAGGGGAAAUGGGGGUGGGGUGGGAGGGCCAGGCCUGGGGAAGUGAUUUUAGAAGUGCAAGUCUGGUGGGAGAGUUUUUCCGUCAGACCAUCUGGAGGGAAGUAGUCAUAAUCUACUACAAGUUCUCCCGAAAUGAUCAAGUACACAUAGGGAAAUUGUUACAUUGUUGAAAAACAUGUCUGCUUCGCUUCCUCCUGGGGAGCUCUAAAGACUUUUAUCAGAGAUGGACUCCCUGCUUGAGGUACAGAGAGAUUAAGAUGAGGCCAAAGAACAGCUCUCUCCCCUUGUAAUUCUCCAGGUAGCCAGUUUUCAGCUGGCUGCCAUUUUUUGCAAUUUAAGAUGCUAAGAGAAUUUAAAUGAGAUCAGCCCUGUGUGUGUAAAGAAGGAAACAGUCUGUAUGGCCAAACAGAAAAGGUACCAUGUUGUAUGAGUUACUGCCUUUCACGUUAACUGGUGUGUGUGUGUGUGUGUGUGUGUGUGUGUAGAACAAAAGUACAGUUGUCUAUACAAUUAGUUAUUUAAGCUAUUUCAAGUACCAUUACAGCAAGGGGGAAGGGAGGGAACAUCUAAACUACAUAAAAUUAUUUUUAAAAAUUCGUUCUAGAAAAAAGGAAAUGCCAGAGUAGUAAGAUAAGGAGUCUUAAUUAGCAACAAAUUCAUCUAUUUCCUUCCUCCAAAACCGAGACAGUCUUCUAAGGCAAUUUGCUUGGAGAGCAGUUUUGCGCCAUAAAUCUGGGACAUGUUUUUCAUGUGUGUUUGCCCUGUGUGAGGCUUAAGAAAAACACAGCAACCAAACCAUCCAGUUCAGCCCUGGAGGGAAAGACCUAGAAGACCUAAUCACCCGUGAUGGCGAUUACAUAACAGAGAAUCGCGCGCGCGCGCGCGCACACACACACACACACACACACACACACACACACACUCCAAGAGUCUCAAAAAAAAAAAAAAGAAAAUCAGCCUUUGGCUUCCUGUCACAGAAGAUAUCUCCUUUUUUUUUUUUUCCUUU